rnacentral:rRNA from 1 species
AACGAACGCUGGCGGCGUGGAUAAGACAUGCAAGUCGAACGGGACAGACCGAGUAGCAGUAUUUGGAAUGUUCAGUGGCGAACGGGUGCGUAACACGUGGAUAACAUUCCGGAAAGCGGGGAAUAGCCCAGGGAAACUUGGAUUAAUACCGCAUGUGGCCGCAAGGCUAAAGACGGGGACCGCAAGGCCUGUCACUUUCCGAUUGGUCCGCGGCCUAUCAGCUAGUUGGCGGGGUAAUGGCCCACCAAGGCUACGACGGGUAGCUGGUCUUAGAGGACGACCAGCCACACUGGAACUGAGACACGGUCCAGACACCUACGGGUGGCAGCAGUCGAGAAUCUUUCACAAUGGGGGCAACCCUGAUGGAGCGACGCCGCGUGGAGGAUAAGGUCUUCGGAUUGUAAACUCCUGUCAUGCGAGAACAAGGUACUCAGGCUAGUAACCUGAUUGUUUGAUGGUACCGCAAGAGGAAGAGACGGCUAACUCUGUGCCAGCCGCCGCCGUAAAAC